CUAACUCUAUUAUUCUACACAGGAAGUAAAGCCAAUAUUUUUCUACUGCAUUUCUAUCCAAAGACUGGAAAUUUAUUAAGGGAAUAUACUUAGGAGUAAAUAGCUUUGUCAUUGAGAUAAGUGCCAAAGGAUUGUCACACUCCAGGUAAGGUAAGGCAGUUAAAGGCUGUACCAAUAAUUGCAUCUUCAUUAAUUAAUAAAAAUAUUAUACAUUGACAACUUCUUCUGUAACUUGCAGGAUCAGACACUGUGGAUACAAAUUGAUGAGCAAAAUCAGAUGUUAUCUGUGUCCUGAUGGAGCUCACUGUCUAGUGGGGAAAGAGAGACAUUAUCAAAUGAUCACAAGAGAAAUAUUUAAACACAAAAUUGAAAACUGAUAUGGUGGAAAGAGAUGUAUGAGAUUUCACAGUAAGAGUGAAAAUGAGCAUGAGACAUGGUCUGAGGAAUAGGAAGACCUCCCUGCUGAAAGGGACAUUUGAGCUGAGCCCUGAAGGAUGAGUAGGCGUUAACUAAGUGAAGUUGUGUAUUAGCGGUAGUGGAUGUAAGGGGAGGGAGGCAAAGUAUUUCAGGCAAAGGGAGAGUCUUAAGGGUAAUGUGUAGAUUAGCCAGAAUCUCAGAGGGCACUGGAAAAAGAUCAUAAAAAAUUAAAAAAAAAAACCAACUUCUUAAGUAGUUCCUGUAUCUGUUUACAGAGUUGCUAUACAAAGCCUCUGAAAUUCUUCUGGUUAGUAGUUCAAGGUUGGCGCAACAAGUAAAGGAACUGGGAGCCAAAGCACAUUUGCAGAGUUGCUCAGAGUAGAGGAUCUGAGGUGGUUUUGAUGAGCAGAGUGUAAAGGAAGUGGUUUCACAGCUGACUUCCUUUUCCCCAUUCGCCACCUCACUACCCUCAAUCCUACAGUGCCUUUGUGUCUCCUCAGGUUCUGAGUUUUCAGUAACACAGAGCCUUUGUCAUAUUGUUGCUAGAGCCUUUGAGGUUUCAGCUACUUAUUUUAUCUCUUCUUUUCUUGAAAAAACAGACACAAGAAGAACAGAUGCAUUACCAAAUUUUUUUGUGUGUUUACUUACUCAAAUGGAGCCUACAGCCUCACUUCAUACAAGAUGUGGACAACACUUUAUUAAUGGAAAUUUACAAAUGUAUGAAAUAACAGAAAGAAUAAAAUACCAUUACAAGCAUGGCAACUAGCUUCUGAAAGAGGAUUAGCAGCAUUCGCUACUAGUGAGCAUAGUCCUCAUCUUUGUAUUAAUUAAUGAGCUCAUCCAAUUUUUUGAGGAUGUUAGGUUCAUUAGGUACUGUGGACACAGAGACGAGGAGAAAGUCUUCUAGCCAAAACAACUUAUUGGCUAGUUGGGGAGACAGUUGAGAAAAUACCACAGCUAUAUAAUUAUCAUAGAAUAUGAUAAAAGCUACUGUUAUGCACUUCUGUACUGGAUGUUGUAGGAGCACAAAUAGGGAGCUACGUAUUUAGCUUUGAGUGGGAGGUUUUGGAAGGCUAUGCAAAGAGGGGAUACUUGGUUUGAUCCUUGAGAUAUGAAAGAGCCAGAGAUGGAACAGAGAGAAAAGCAUUUCAAGUGGAGGAUAGAUCAUGGGCAAAGGCAUGGGAGUGGGAAAGGAUUUGAUGAAUUCACGGACUCACAGUAUUUUUAUGUGUCUGGAGCCUGGGGAAGAGGCAGGAGGAGGGGGGCUGGAAAAUCUGAUGGGUCAGAUUACUAAGGAGUCUGGUUCCACAGGAAACAAUUUUCAGUAGGAAAAAGAAGUGUUAAGUUCCAUGUUUUAGAAAGACUGCUCUUUAUGUGACAGCAGCCAAGGGAAUAAAUGAUAAAGGAAUGAACUGGGAGAGUGGGCG
rnacentral:lncRNA from 1 species